AGGUUCCUGUGCUUGUUCCAACUGGUCAGAUGGCCAGCUCAAGUCCAGGUCUCUCAUGGAGUGAGGAAUCGCCUAGACCGUCUUGGUGUUAUAGCAGAAUGCCAUCUGGCCCAGCACUUUUCAGCUGUGCGAAAGUGGCCCUGACCCUGACAAUCUCUCUAGCUGCAAAGGACCAUCACCAAUGUUGAGAGUGGAGUUUCAGAUUUAACCCCCUCGCUACGCCAGUCAUCACACCUGAUGGGAACAGAUAGCUGAAUCUGCUUAAGCUGUCAGUUGGAGUUGGUCUUGGCUACAAGAGCAGCAUGUGUGGGUGGUGUGUAUGUGAAAUGGAUCUACAGUGUGUCAGUGUGUUUGUUUUGUAAGUGUGUUUUUUGGUACAGAAUGUAUGCUGGAGUUUUGUGGAUCAUCUUGAUGUACCAUGGUUAUGUAGAGUGUGAUGUAUUUCGCAGUUAAGUAUAUUGUAUGAGUACCAAGAGUAUAAAGGUUUUUUGGCUUCUU